AAUCUGAAAAUCUAAUAACACACCUUUUUCAAUAAAGUCAUACAUGUAACCGGUUCUUCCCAAAAAGUUCUACUUACCAAUUGGGAGCCAAGUAUUCAAAGAGUAUGGGCCAACUGGGUCAUUCUUAUUCAAACCACCGCACUUUAGAAUUUGCUUUUUUGGGGUUAAAAUUUUUAAAAUGGGCAACUGCUUAUGGACUAGAUUUUUUAAAACAGACAGCUUGUGUAAAAAUGUGUGCAGUUUAGGAACAAAGAUUUUUAAAAAUACAAAUGUUAACUACAAGUAUAAAAUGACCAGUUAGACACCAUAGUACUCUAACUUCAGCUACUAGAGAUUAAAAGGGCAAAAUAUGAGCUGUUUGGAAAGAUAAAAAUUAUUCCCACCUAGAGGCAUAUGUUUAUGUAGUAUUCUAGGUAAGCAUAAGAAAAUUGUCUGGUGGUAACUAAGACUCAGGGGACAGAUUAACCAAUUUGAUCAGGGGUGUCACCUAAAGAAUCAGCUAAAUCGGUUAACAACGAGCUUAGGGAGUCAGGGUUCUGUUAUGGCCAAAAGGGAAAGACUGAAUUUUUCGGAUUCAGAUAUGAGAAUGAAAUCUUGGAGGAAGGAGCAGGUUUGAAAGAAAUGGCAGACAUGAAAGGAUUACAAAAACUGAGAUUGGAAAGAUAACAAUGUACCAGUUUCAUAACAGGUGAUAUGAAUUAAUUCAUGAAUUAAUACUCCUAUGGUACCUUAAUCACAGCUAGGAUGGGAUGCCAGCUGUACGCAUAAAAAACAUAAUGUAUGAUUUAGUGAUUCAUGAAAUAUAUGAAUGGUGCUUGUGAUUCAUGGAAUGCCAAAGUCAGUUCUCACUUAGAGCAGUAAUACAAAUGCAUGAGAUAAGGGUGUUCAUUUUGGCGAUUUCUGCCACUUAUACCUUAAUGUGAGGACUUUUCUAAGCCCCCCCAACCCCAUACAUGACAAAACUUAAGACUGAUGAUAUGGAAAAGGCACAAGGCAGAAGGCUUAUCUAUAGUUUAUGGGUGCUGGUCAAUGUUCUGAUUCAAACGAGGGAAGGGAUGAGGAGGAUGUGAACAUUGUGGGAUACAAGAUGAAGGACAAUAUUUCUACCUCUGCUGGACCACCAACUGCACGCUGUUCUGGAGCCAGCCAAGUGUUACUAUGCUUUCCUCAAACUUCCUUGGCUGCCAGCCUUAGCUUCAGCCAAACCAGCCCAAAAUAAGCAGCUAAGUGAUUCCAAUGCUGUACUAAUCAGUCCAGGCUCCCUAAAGUGGAGAGCUUGAAGAACUGCCAGAAAGAUAAAGAUGCAUUUUCACUUCAUUGCCAGAUUUUUAUCCCUCAUUUAAGUCACCUUUUUGGGGAGGGAGGCUGCAGCCUAUGCCUUCUAGUCUGAGUUUGAAAGGGACUUUCCUGGUACAGACUCUCGAGGUCUUUGUUACCCACGCUAACUUCAGCCUCAAACCCUCAAGUUUUACCUUGAUUUUUUUUUUUACUGAAAAAAAUGAAAAAAAAAAAGCUGUGAGUUUAUUUCAAGUGUGGUUUCCUUGGAUGUAAAAUGUCCAGUCAGGAAAAGCAUGAUGAUAAUUCCAGAAACUUCCUGAUUAGAGGUCUUUGGGGAGUUGUAGACGUGGGACAGUGGGUAAGAGCGCUUGCUGGGUAAGCAUGAGGACCUGAGGUUGGAUCUCAGAAGCCAUCUUGGAAAGUCAAAGCUGUGUGCCUGUGACCCCAGCUUGGUGAGGGAUAGAGGCAGGAGGAUUGUCUGGACUUGCUUGCUGCUCCAGUCUAGCACCAGAAUCCUGAGAGACCUUGUCUCAACAGAAUAAGAGGGUGAUGGAUUCAGACCCACAGCAUCUGCCUCUGGACUCUGGGAAUGCAUGCUCCCUCCUCACAUGUAACACACCUACACAUGCACAACACACAUGUAUACAAGCAUGAGUGCAUAUAUGCAAAGAUGUUUGGGGAUGUGUAUUUUUACAACCUCAACCCUAUCUGGAAACAAAAUGGCCAAUAAGAUGUUAAAGAAUAAGAAUUUCAAUUACUACAAUUAAAAAAUUCAUCUCUUAUUCAAGGUCUGUGAUGGUUUAUGUCACUAUUAAAGAAUUAUUCGCAGUCUUAUUUUGUUAGCUCCUGGUUGUUAUAAGUUCGAUUUUGCCCAUGUUUGGUCAAACUGACAAGUUUCUAAGAAUUCUUCGACAUUCCAGGCUUGCUGCUUGCAGCAGUGUGCCAAGUCACUAAGCACACAAGCCUGCUUAUGGCAGAGUGUUUGUUUCAAUAUUUAGCAUCAUAUUCUCAAAUGGACCAGAAGGGCCAGAUGGAGAACACAAGCAAAUUGGCAGGUAUUUCAACCAGCAUUCUGAGAUAUCUAUGAAAAACAAUGGUACAGUCUUGGCAGAUUAUAGGGUGAUUGACCAUGAGGACAUAACAUUGAUACAGGUAUGAUGACCUAAGUAAUGCCUAAAUGAAACUAUUAAAAUUUUACGAUCAUAAUAAAAUAGCAUAAAAUAAUAUUUAUUUAGCUUAUAAGACUAAAGGUCAAUGCUUUAGUCUUGGCUCAACUGAGUGGUUCGUUUUCUUAUUCUUGGCUCAUUUACAGCACCAGCUCUCAACUGGAGCGAGAGUUACUAGACUGCCAUACAUCUCUUACCCACCAGCAAACUAACCUUAGCAUCCUCUUCCAGCGAGGGCAGUGGAAGACAGAAGAAACAGAAAAGGCCAAAUAAACGAAUAAACAAAUCGAAAAUUUCCAAGUGGAUGACCUCACAGAAGAAGCUGUUUGCCAAAGAAGGGCAUGUAGCCCGCACUCUACAUGAAGCAUGGUUGUACCAAGAGCUGGGAUCGCAGGUGAGCACCUCUACUCCCAGGUUUGAAGAUGUUUGGGCAUCGCCAUGGGUAGCUCUUGUUCAUGUCCGUGACUCACAGGGAAGAUUACAAGAUUCUUUCAAGGAUGGAUUCUGAGGAAUAGUCCCUGUGGUAUAAGACCACAAUGGCGUUUUAUUCAGCCAUAAAGAUGAAUGAAUUGAUGGCAUUUGCAGAGAACUUGGUGCAAACGGAGACCAUCAUACUAAGUGAAUGUAUGUAGCACAUUCUGUACCAUGACAGCUAACGCUUGGGAUGAAACUUACAGGGUUUUUCACGUGUAUGAAGAAACUCAGGAACAAAGGAAGAAGAAGGAUUAGGAAACAGAACACAUUAAAACUUCCACUCCCGUUCACCAUAUGGUUGCAUUCAAGCCUUGACCCUUCUGAUGGACUCUAAGGAAGGAUGUGGAGGAACCUGAGGCCGGGGAUUUGAUUCCAACAGAGCUACUUCCCCAGUAGAUUUUCAUCAUUAAAGUUUGCUGAGUCUGACGUCAUCUUCAACUUUAAUAUGUAUGUAUGAAGAUGGAGAAACAUUGGAGUCAGAAUAGAAGAAUGUGAACUGGGCAUAAAAGUAAACGGCAACUCUCGAUCUAAUUGAGAAAACCUCAAAGAAGCUAGAGCAUGUGCAAACAAGAAAAAGGAAAAACCCAAGUUGGAAUCUAUGUCUUUUCUGCAGUAAGUAGACUGUGAAUCUCUAAUAUAAAAUUGUGAAACCCUCUGAUAAUAAAAUAGUCUAA
rnacentral:sRNA from 1 species